GACGAACGCUGGCGGCGUGCCUAAUACAUGCAAGUAGAACGCUGAAGCUUGGUGCUUGCACCGAGCGGAUGAGUUGCGAACGGGUGAGUAACGCGUAGGUAACCUGCCUGGUAGCGGGGGAUAACUAUUGGAAACGAUAGCUAAUACCGCAUAAGAGUAGAUGUUGCAUGACAUUUGCUUAAAAGGUGCAAUUGCAUCACUACCAGAUGGACCUGCGUUGUAUUAGCUAGUUGGUGAGGUAACGGCUCACCAAGGCAACGAUACAUAGCCGACCUGAGAGGGUGAUCGGCCACACUGGGACUGAGACACGGCCCAGACUCCUACGGGAGGCAGCAGUAGGGAAUCUUCGGCAAUGGACGGAAGUCUGACCGAGCAACGCCGCGUGAGUGAAGAAGGUUUUCGGAUCGUAAAGCUCUGUUGUGAGAGAAGAACGAGUGUGAGAGGGAAAGUUCACACUGUGACGG
rnacentral:rRNA from 1 species